CUUUUAAAGGAGACGAGCCCUCCGCUGGCUUAGAGCACCA
rnacentral:tRNA from 1 species